AUUGGACCCUCGUCUUUAUAUCUGCUAAUUGUCACAAAGUUCUGGUUCUGUUGGGCGCACUUACUAGAUUGUUAUAUGGGAAGUGACCAAUAGAUCUUUAACAAUUUCUUGCUGCUAUAUUUAAGACAGUAUUCUUAGUUCAACAAUUCACUCAAAUCAAAUAUUAAUUUAAUGUGAUUGGUGAGGUGAUAGGUUUCAUUUUUUUUCCCUUCUAGAAACGGUGAUUUUGUUGGGUUUUGACUACAGGGU
rnacentral:misc_RNA from 1 species